AGAGGCUUAGGUUAAUACAUAGACCAAGGGCCUUCAAAGCCCUAAGUGAGGGAUAGACGCCCCCAGCCCCUG
rnacentral:tRNA from 1 species